UACGGAGGGUGCGAGCGUUGUCCGGAUUUAUUGGGUUUAAAGGGUGCGUAGGUGGCCAAUUAAGUCAGUGGUGAAAUACAGCCGCUCAACGGUUGAGGUGCCAUUGAUACUGAUUGGCUUGAAAUAAUUGGAGGCUGCCGGAAUGGAUGGUGUAGCGGUGAAAUGCAUAGAUAUCAUCCAGAACACCGAUUGCGAAGGCAGGUGGCUACGAUUGAUUUGACACUGAGGCACGAAAGCAUGGGGAGCAAACAGG
rnacentral:rRNA from 1 species